CGAAGAAGAGCCGUUGCUUUCGCCGCCGCAGUAGCGAGGGCCUUGGCUGUGGCCCAUGUUCCUGAGCCCCGCCGUUGUCUCGGCGACGGUCGCUGAGGCCAGCCGGCCGGACGGCAACAUGUCGCGGCGACAUGAGCAAAAGCAGCCCCUGUGCUAGCCCCGAUGCGCCUCCCGAGCAAGAGAGCGCGGCCGCACCAGAGGAGGCAGCCGCCCAGCCGCCGCCGGCAUGGGCCAGCGAAGCGCUGCAGGGCGAUGUCGUUGUCGACGACGACGGGGUGGUCAUGCUCGCGCCCGCGACCGUGGAGCAAGUGCGGACGGUCACCGUGAGCACGCUGACGCGGGUGCACGGCGCGGAGUACGAGCAGAGGGAACUUCGAAGCACCAGGCGACAAGAGUAAGAGGAGCGAACGCCGCCUGCAGCAGCAGCGGCGGCGUCGUGCCGACGACGCCUACGAAGAGGACGAGCGCGACGACGCAGCAGCUCGCAGCGGCGGGGACGAGGUCCACGAAGACGAAGACGGCGGCUCUUCUUCGCGCCAGUCGCUGCUGCUCUUCGUCGUGGCCACGGCCAUCCUGGUCGUCUGCAUGGUGGCGGGCUUCAUCUCCAUCGCCCUGCUCGAACAGGUCGAGCGGCGCAAAAAACGGGUGUCCAUAGACGCUCCCGACUCUGACUGAGACAACGCGGAGCUCUGAGGCUAUGGCUAAGCGCCGUGCCACGACAGCGAGCCGGUUCACCGCCAGGUGCAGCAACGACCUACCUGGACAAGCGACGUGCAGCGCAGUUGUCGAAGAAUGUCAUAUAGCCACAUCACAGGAGCGCUCCCGAUACAUCAAGGCCGACAGCUCAUAAUGUUGAACUCUUUCCACAGUACUUUUUUUUUAUUUUCUUCGUGUAGCUGUCUUUAUUUUUUUUUCACUUUUUUUAUCGCAAGCUACGUAACGCGCUACGUGGAAUUAAAACCAAUGCUGCAAGCAAGCGUCGACUAACGUCGACCACUUGUGCUUGUUUUCCUCACUCUCA